rnacentral:tRNA from 1 species
UCAAAGAAAAGAGAUUUCAACUCCUACCCUCAACUCCCAAAGCUGAGAUUCUUACAUUAAACUACUCUUUG